rnacentral:rRNA from 1 species
AUUGAACGCUGGCGGCAGGCCUAAUACAUGCAAGUCGAACGGUAACAUGAAAAAAGCUUGCUUUUUUUGAUGACGAGUGGCGGACGGGUGAGUAAGGUUUGGGAAACUGCCUGAUAGAGGGGGGACAACAGUUGGAAACGACUGCUAAUACCGCAUAAUGUCUAACCGAGGCAUCUCGGAUAGACCAAAGGAGCAAUCCGCUGUAAGAUGGACUCGCGUCCAAUUAGAUAGUUGGUGGGUAACGGCCCACAAGGCGACGAUCAGUAGCCGGACUGAGAGGUUGACCGGCCACAGUUGGGACUGAGA